rnacentral:rRNA from 1 species
ACGCUCGACACCUACGAGGCAGCAGUGGGGGAUAUUGCACAAUGGGGGAAACCCUGAUGCAGCAACGCCGCGUGAAGGAAGAAGGUCUUCGGAUUGUAAACUUCUGUCCUCAGGGAAGAUAAUGACGGUACCUGAGGAGGAAGCUCCGGCUAACUACGUGCCAACAGCCGCGGUAAUCUGAGCGGGCUGGCAAGGC